GAAAAAGCUUUGUAAGCUUUACACAUUUAAGAUUUUUUCUCCAGUGCAUAGCAUGAUGCCUGACAUAUUUUAACUGCUCAUUACACUCUUGAAUGAACUGGUGAAGAGCCAAGAGUUAUGAGAGCAUAAUACUAGAGUGUAGAUGGAUUAGUUCUGCCUGGAUAGACAGGAGGGACGCGGAGGCUUCCAAGAAUGUAACUUUUGAACUGGACUUGGAAAUCUUACCUGCAGGCAGGGUCAGGGAAAUUCAGAAUUUCACAGGAGAAUAUGGAAAAAUGGAGAGCAAGACAUAAGUGAAUGGGAUGCACUGGUGAAAUUUCUCUUACUGCAAUAUCACUAGCAGCUUUGUAAGCCACAAGGCUGUUCUCUGCUGCCUCCUUCCUGUCAUUUCCUGUGGCAAAUUCUGCCAGAUACCUGUGGUAGUCCCCUUUCCUAGAUUUAAACCAGGAACAAUGACUUUUAAAGUAAAAUAGCUAAAAUUGUUCUAUAUAAUAUAAAAUAUGUGACAAAAAUAUAUGUAACAAUUAACAAGUGUACUUCAAUAAUUUUAAACACUCUCAAGAAUAUUUGGCUUCAUUUCAUUUUUUUCUUAGACAUUUCAUACUAUUUUCCUUAUUAAAUAUAAUCAAAAAUCCCACAGAAAUUAACUGAGGAACCUCUAAAUAUCAACAAAACUAUGGCUUGAUAGACUGGAAUUAAACAAGCAAGUGGUUCCAAGAAAUGGCACAAGUGUAUUAAUCAUAAAAUAAAAUUUCUACAUGAAACAUUCAGCCAGCACUGUGCAAUGUGUGGCCGUUUGGGGGAGGGGAAUGAGAUAGGUCCCAUGAAAGCAAAGCAAUAUAAAUAAGUAAAGCAAAAGCUAAUGCAUUUUUAUAAUAGCCUGACCAUCUUUUUAUUCCAAAAUCAACUAUCCAUCUAACAUUAAACAAUUAUUCGUAAAUAAAAGUUGGAAACCUACAUAGAAGAAAGUCAUGAUUCUAAAAAGGCCAACUUUUAAUGUUACAUUUUCCUUUCUAGUAUAGAACCUACAUUUCAUAAUAGAAAACCUUGGACUUGCCAGUGGUAGCUGCUGGAAUGAGGUGUUUGUCCAGUGCAUCCAGAACGUCGCCACGGAUUAACUUUAGCUCAGUCUCAACCUGAAAAAAUAAAAAUAAAUUUUAAAAAAUCAGACUGUUUCAGUCUAGAAAUUCUGUAAAUUUAUUACACAUUCU
rnacentral:lncRNA from 1 species